AUGCCUCUUCAACUUGCUCUCGCCGGCAGCGCACGCUGGCGCGGCGGCAUGCCACCCAUACGAGACCUAAUCGCGCUGCCAACCUUGUUCCGGUCUUCGGGAACCUCACCGUCGCUGGCAUCCUCCGCGCUGCGUGGCGGCUGGGACGGCGUCGCAGCCGUCGAGCAGCCGGAGAACGAGUGGCACAAAUCGAUACGGCGGCGCUGCAGGUUGCAGCACAAGCCUGAUGGGGAAGAAGAUAGGAGUGCUGCUUUGAGAUUCGUGGAUCCACGUGGCGUUGGAUGGAAUGGGUCGCUCUGUUCAGAGCGUACGACCCGGUCGCAUAUGAUUUUCUUCCGAUCGAAAGACCCCUCGUUGACUCGGUGCCUCGUUUCAUCCGCCGCCCCAGCCCCUGGACGGCUCGACAGACAGAACGAUCCGGACCUGUACUUGGCCUCGUCGCCUCAUCGCAGCAAGCCCCAUCUCCAAUUCCGGCGGCCACUUGUUCUGCUGCGUCUCCACAACCGGCUAGAGCUCCGUUUGCUAAAUGCUUCUGGAGAAAACAAAGCAGCAAACCCCACCAAGAAGCCAAAAGUGCGGGGCCAUCCAAGGAAAGAAGAAAGCAAUGGGAAGCCAAAAGACAGAGGCAUCCUCUGUUCCCUGCAUUACACAGAUAUUGCAACCAUCCAAAUAGACCGGGGUGUCCUUGAUCUUGCUACCGAGCCCCAGUGGUGGACCUAG
rnacentral:rRNA from 1 species